AGUAUGUGGGAAACUGACAAUCUCCUUUUUUAUAUACUAAAUCAAGAUUAUUCUCUUAUAUUUUCUUUCAAACUCAUUUUAUUGACCAUCAUAUUGGCAUGGCAAACCCAAUAAAGAAGCAACAAACCAACUAUGUAGUCUAAAAUAUUGUUGGUAAAAUAACAUAAUGAGUUGCUUAAUUAGGGAUGGUAAUUGUAUUCGUUCAUAUUCAAUAUCCAGAACAUUCAUCCUUAUUGAAACAAAUAAUAUCCAUUCAAAAUUAUAUUGAUGUGAAUAUGAAUAUUUUAAGAUAAUAUUAUUGUUUUAGGGAGGGGAGAAUUAUGGGUGCAAAUGUGUGCCAAUGGCAUGAUAACAGGUGGCAGAAAGAGUCAAAAAAGUUAAGGUAAAUCAUUUGACCAAGACACCAGGAUAACAUAAAGUAAGCAAGGAGGUAAGCUAUCCGAAAGAAGGGUAGUACCAAUAAAACAAGUGAUAUAUAUAUAUAUAAUAUAAAGGGCAUAAUCGAAAUUUAGAUUUUUGGUGGUUAGGGGCACACAUGAACAAUACAUGCCAUCAUUCGUGAAAUAAAAAAUAUCUCACUUUUGGCUAAAUAAAUGGACUUAAUGGAAGAAGAGAUUCUUAAGAUGAGGAAUGAAGGACUACCACAUCAAUUACCUUCUGCAGUGGUCUAAAAGGGAGAUUGGCUAUAGGCAGAAGAGGUUGCCACAUGUAUAAAGCAAGAGACAAAAGGGCGGUUGUUGUUUCCUUUGCCUACUAUACCCAAGUGUGUCACCAGCAUGGGAUCACAAGCCUAAUUACCAAAAUGUCCUCACUUGAAGGAGGACCGCCAUUUAUUAAGCGCCAUGUGUACAAAAUUAUUGAAAUGACCCUUAGGCACACUCCACAAAAGCUUUUCACUCCCAAACGGUAACAAACUUUUAUAACAAAAAAAUGGUGCUCUUAUCUUCUUCCACAGGGGAUAUUAACCAUUUUUUAUAGCCACUCUUCACUUAAAGCCUAACUUGAGUGUCAUAGUAUGGUUGCCUGCCAUCGGCGGUUCCACCUCUAGUGUUAGUUGUUGCUCUAUUUUGCAAGACUCUUUCAGCUCAAGCUUGCUGGCCUUCAUCUCCAAUUUCGUCCUCUCUUUCUCCUUUUAUCACCAAACACUCAACCUACUAGCUAACCUCCCCUAUCUUGUGAUAGAACACCUCUAAAAUGAGGUAGCAUCCAACAUCCAUUCUCUUUUACUAUUUUAUUGCUUUAUUUGGAUCAUCCUAAGUCUAGCUAAAAAAAUUAUAUUUACCCGAUGGAUAUCCAUCUACCCAUAU
rnacentral:lncRNA from 1 species